GACAGUUUAUUGACAGAAUCAUCAUUAAAUCUUAAAACAACAUUUAAUGCUGGUCAAUCAUCCCAACAGGGACAAUUUGGGUCGGACCUUCCAGAUCCUGGAGCAUCCCAUAAAAAAUGUCCGUUUAACUUUACAGGGUAUACUAGGUACCCUUCUGAGUUAAAUCGUGUGAUUGGCAGAUUUUCUUGGGUUGUUUAAACAACCGUGAUCAUCGAAGACUGAGUGAAUGAUAACCUUGGAGGCUCUUGAGGAGCACUAGGUAACAGCUGAGAGGUACUUGGUGGAGGCCUAAAAGUCAUUUUGACAGUACCAUCUGGCGUUCUUUCAAACAUACUUUCUGAUGUCUGAAUGGGGGCUGUAUUGUUAUGGAAUUUUUUAUAAUUUGAAAUCCAUUCCAGCGGCAUGAGUUUUAUGAGUUCAUGGUGAGGGAUUUGUCUAGGGAUUUGGAUGAUGGUUGGAAUUUGGUCUGAUUUUGCUAACACCAUAAGAGCAUCAGAGUGGUUGUCAGGUGUGGGAAGAUCUAAGGCAUGAUUUUAAAGCCUAUAGACCAACUGAUGGUGUAAAGUAGCCAUUUUUGCUGAGGAGAUUUAUUUUGCUCCUUGAAUUUGAACUUGAACUUUCAAGGCAGUUGACAGGUUGGUAUCUUGGAGAGAUAAAUUGAAAUUGGGGUAGAAAGUGAGAAGAGCACUUCCUGCAUGUAAAGUGGUCAGGACAGUACCAACUACUGCAUCCUGAUAUUGUUUGAAUUUGGUGUCGAGCAUAGCAAUUCUGCCUGUAACAGGUAAUCCUUUUCUUCCAUGUAAGGUCAGGAUUAAUCUUACUCCCCCAAGAUGGAGAUGAGUAUAACCCUCUCUUUUCCAGUUGGAAAUCAAUUCUGGAGCUAUUUCCAAAGUAACAUAUUGCUAAGCUGUGGUAGCUUGAAGAGUGCACUGAUCUAGUCUAGAGGACUGGAUGUAUUCUUUUAGUAGAGAUAAGGGUUCUGAUACUUCUAGUAAAAGAGUUUCCUCUCUUGUAGAGCUGAUAAGGACUAAGAAGAGGGAAUGAAGAUUCAUUGAUCUGGGCUGACUCAAGAAUAUAUGAAUACUCAACAAGGUUUUCUAUUUUAUUGGCUGUUUGUUUGGUGCAAGAUUUGGGUAAAGACAAAGUAGAAGAAAGGGAGAUUGGAGUGAACGUAGAAGUAAAAGCAUCAUUAGAUGAAGUAGAUUUAAUUAUAUGUAUGGUUAAUUUUUCAAGUUUGUGACUUAGUAAGAGAUGAUUUCUAGGUAGUAAUAAUAUGAAGAUGAAACAGCUUAAAUUAAACACUUGAGUCUCUAGAUUCACACUCGUGACUUCACCACGGGCUUAAUAUUCCUUUUUAGUUUGAAUUAAUUUAUGAGGUAUUUUCACUAUUCAUAGGCCUCAUUUUGGUGAUUAUAGUAUCAAGUACUCAUUGUAACAGGGGAAAUAAUCUUCUGCUAAAUAUGUUAUUGAGUACACGUUGUGCUAGGUGAUAACAAUCUACUAUCGACAAUAUGGCAAGACUAUCUGCUAAAUAACUUAGGGGAGCUUGUCACUAAUAUAUAUAAUGUAAAGUGCUUAUCAUGCUAAAUAGUAGUGAUCUUACACUAAAGAUCUGGUAUACUGUGCAAAAUCUACAUGGAGUUAUUACUUUCUAUCAACAAUGAGUUAAAACAAUUCAAAUAAAUUAGAGAGGGAGAAUGAAUAUAAUUACUAAAUUAAUCCCAUGGAUAAUGUUCAAGCUUCACUUUCAACCUAAGCUUCAAAUUAGAUUAGCCACUCAUAUUAAACUAGGGGGUAAAAUGGUAAUCUUAUAAUAAAAUACAUAGAAAAUACAAGAUAGAGAGAAAAUUAUAGAAAAUAGAGCUAAGAUUUGGCUUUAUAGCUAUUCAAUUAUAGGGAGCCCCCUAUUUAUAGAUACAAUAGUAAAUCAUGGCCAUCGAAUGAAAAAAAUUUGAACACUUAGGAUUGCGCCACAUGGCAAGCUUUGAUUGGCUAGAGCAAAUUAUCAGUGUUGUGAUUAGGUCCAAUAAUAUGCUGCCACAUCAUCGGUCAAUGCCACGUUAGUAUUUUUUGGUCCAAUAGGAUGUUGCCACCUCAUCGAUCAAUGCCUCAUAAGCUAUGUCCCAUCAAAAUCCUAAAAUUAUAAUUUUACCAUUUAUGCCCUUUCUUAGGUUUUUCAACUAAUCUUAGCUAAAAAAUGCUAUUAGUUUUGCUAUUUGAUUUCUCGCUAAUCGUAAAUGAUCAAAAUACUUCUAAAAUACAUAAAAUAGUCAAACUAUUACAGAGCACACACAAUCAAAGUUUAAAGGACUUAAAUACAUAAAUAGAAAUGUCAGUGACACUUGAAUUGCAAAAUGAUUAUUAUGAUUCAUGUUAAUUAACUUACGAAAGGCAUUAUAAAUAACAUGUCCUAAUCUUACCAUGCCAUAGACUAGAGAAAUUAAGAAAAUAAGCAAAAGAAAUAGCUUUAUUGUUCUUAGGUGUUAUAGCCAUUACAUUCAAUCUGAACAACCUAUUAGAUACAUAUUCCUUUCUCUCAUACAUUCCAUUUUCAAACAAAACUACUUUAUUUGACUCAAAUACCAUCUAGAAUCCAUGCCUGUUCAAAAAAGAUCCAGAUACGUGAUUCUUGUGAAUUUCUAGCACACACAAAACAUUGUUUACAGUCUACUUUUCCCCAAAAGUCAUCUUUAAAAUCACUUUUCCUUGACCUUCCAUCACACAUGUAGGAAAUUAAAAUUUUUUUAUUUGAGCAUACAUGUGAUGCUACGGAUAUGAUACUAGAUUUUGUUCUAGCUUACGUUCUUGAAUACUCAAGAAAGAAAGUUGUCACAAAGGAGAAAUUAUAUCAAUUGAGAAAUAUAGAAUAAUAUUAAUGAAAAGCUUGUGUCAAGAAACAAGCACAACAAGCUUAUUUGUACUAGCUAAGAUUAUCAUAUUCUUAAUAAAAUUAUGAUUCCUUAUAAGAAAAGGAAAAUGACUUUAAUAAGAAAAUAUAAAGUAAUUCCUAAUUAAACUAGAAAACUUAUACUCUUAUUAUGACUCUAAUAAACUUAAUAAAAUAAGAUAAAUCCUAAUAGAAUACUACAUACUAGAUUGAAUCAAAUACUCUAAUUUCUAAUAUAUUCUAUCUAUGUGCUUCUUAUAUCAACAUGUCAAGUGGCACUAGUAUUAAUCGAUUAUUCUCUUGGAUUGAAGCCUGCCAGAAUUACUUCAUGAACCAUUAUAGAAAAAUAAUGUUUGACACAUCUUUGGAGAUGUCCUCUACCACGUUACCUUCCCGGUUUCUCUUUUUCUUCAGUUUAUCAAAGUUGAAGCAUUUGCAUUGAAAUUUGGUUUGCUUGUUGGAGACUCCUCUGUUAGAAACCAGUUUGCUUAUGUUGGCUUUUUAUUCUUGUUAUUCUAACUAUAUUCCACAAAAUUGGCCUUGGCCACAGAAAUGACACUUUUCUUGUAAUUAUUUUUGUUGCCUUCUUUAACGUAAAUUUUAAUAAUCAGAUCAUCAAGACUUAUUUCCUUUCUCUUGUGCUUUAGAUAGCUCUUGAAAUCUUUCCUUGUUGGAGGUAGCUUCUCACUAAUAGUAGCUGCUAAGAAGUUUAGCUCAAAUCCAUCCCCUCGAUAUGAAUUUCUGACAUAAUUUAUCUACAAGUCUUGAACUUGACUCAUAAUAAGUUUGGAGUUCACCAUCUUAUAAUCUAGGAAGCGGCCUAUGAUAAAUUUCUUAAAACCAGCAUCCUCAGUUUAAUAUUUUCGUUCCAAGGACUUCCACAGAUCUUGGAUCUUUUCUUUCUAGCAUACACAUGGUACAAAGAAUCGCUCAACGCAUAAUUUCUACAAAGGAAAUCGGAAUUAUUCCAAGCAUUAUUGCACCGGUCACUUGUGGAUCAACGUUUUAUGGGUAUAAGAGCAUCUUCCAUCAAGAAUCUCACAAGAUUUAAGGUAGUCAAGCAAAAAAAAAAAUUCCUAUUGCCACCAUUUGAAAUUAUGGCCAGUGAAUUUUUCAUGUUUUUUCCCAUCAAGAACAAUCACAAAUGUAGAAGCACUAGUGCCAACACUAGCACAAGAGACAGUAGGAGGAGCUUGGCCAGCUCAACCAUAUUUGGAACCUUAGGCAAAUGGUUUUAAUAGUUCUUUUUAAAUUUUGAGGCAAAAAAAAUAAAUUAGUCAUAUUAUAAAAUUUAUUUAUUAAAAAUCAAUUCUUCCAGCAUUUUAAAAAUGUUAAAUUAUUAAAUAAAAUUCUAUUCUACUAUGCUAAUCCAUGAACUUUUAAUUCAAUUAUAACAUUAUCACUUACUGUUUCUUCACUCAAAUUACAUCUUUUUUACUUGUCCUUUUUUAGAUUAAACUAAUCUUUCUAUUCUUCUAUUUUUUUUAAUUUUUUUGAUACAAUUGUAUUUCAACAUAAAUAAAACAAGCACACACAAAAAUAAUAAUAGAUGAACAAAAGAAUAUAUUAAAAAGAAAUAAGAUCAAAUAAAUAACACAACUAAUUAAGAGAAUAACAAAAAGAUAAAAUCUGAAAUUGGAGAUGAAAUAAUAAAUUCACUUUAUCCUUGAUUAUUUGAGAAUUUAAGCAAUGACCAAUAAUCAUGGAAAAUAGAGAAAACUAUUAGAUUUUUUUUUCUUUGAGGGGAAAGUAGAGGAAGCAUUUUUUUUUUAUCCUCCUCUCUCUAAAGCACCAACAACAAUUAUGGUAACAAAAUGUGGGGCCUUUAUAGAGUUCUAAAAUAAAUAUAAAACUUUUUAGUUAUAACAUAUUAAUUCUAAUGAUAAAAUAGAGGUUUUCUAGGAUUGAAACUAUUAAUUGGACGGUUUUGUAGGAAUUAAAAUAAUUAAAUAUUACAUUAAAUAGACUUUAUUGGAAUUUAAUAGUUUAUUUAGGAAAACAUAAUUAUGAUAAUAGUAAUAAUAAUAACUUUAGAAUUCACCUUCCCGUUUUAUAUACAAAAUAUAAUAGUGCCAUAGGCAAUUGCCUAAGUUGCCUAGGGGUCGAGCUGCUCCUAAGGAGGAGGGUCAAAAGUUCUAGCUUGCUACCUCAUAAUAGUUGCCAUUUCAACAAAUGAUCUGUUUUAAUAUUGUUGGUGUAUUAUUAGAAAUUAGCCAGUGAUAUAAGACUGCCCACUUUGUAUGCAAAAUACUUUAAUUAGGUUUCUAGAAAGGACUAGAGAGGCUACAAUAGUCCUGCCUAAAACCCAAACUCCUUAGGUAAUGUGUAUAGUGUUUGUGAUAAAACUUUUUUGGCACAUUAAAGCUUGUAAUAAGCCUCUUACACACUUAUCAUAAUUUUAGAGUAAUAAUAGUAACAGUAAAUUGAAAUAGCAAAGAUGGAACAUAUAAUUUUGCAAUGUGUAAUAAGAAAAAAACCACUAACCCGAGCCUAUAAAGAUACAGUGUCCUUAAAACAAAUUCGCCACCUUCGCAAAGGCACUUGAAUUAUAUUGGCAAUUGUGUCGUAAGAUAGAAUGGAUUCGAAUGGUAUUGGCAUUCCAGUGAGCUUCAAACGAAUGUUUGAACUCUAUUACAUUAAAGCUUAUAGGUAGAGAGUAUUUGCUUAAGAGAGAAGAGAAGAAAAUCAUUUCGAUUUUUUUGGUGUAUUUUGCAAAUGAACUUGGAAGCCAAUUUAUAGAUGUCAAGGGAGCGCAUUAGUUAGUUAAAAUUUCAUGUGGGACUUUUCCUUCAUAUUUUGAAACCAAUGGGUAUUUUUUAGAUUCAAUUUCUCAUUCACCCAAGUACCAAUUUCAGUGUUUUAUAAUUCGUUGCAAAGAGCUCACGGAAGAGAUUUUCAAAAUUGGCCUCGAAAUAGCCACUUUAUGUAUUUUUCUAACAAAAAUAUGAAGCCAACCUAAAAACAAAUUAAUAAACUCCCACUCUCAUGAGGAGAGUUUAACCAUUAUUAUAAGUGAAAAGGUAAUUAUUAUCAUUUUUUAAAUUAAAAAUUUAUUUAGAAGUAAAAAUAAAAAUAAAAAUAAAUUAAAGAUUAUUGAUAAUCAUUUUUGUAAUUAAUGCUUAUUAAGGACAGCACUUUGGGAUCAUAAAACUUUGAAAAUGCUCCUUCACGAUUCUAACAAGCCAACUAAAUUAAAUCUUCAACGCCUAAUCACUUUUUUUUUAAUUAAAGCGAUUAACUACAAUAUCUACUAAAAAUGAUAUACUAAUUAACAAUUGGAUUCUUUUAGCUUAAAUGUUGAAAUUAAAAUUUUGCAAUAAAUUGAGUUAAAGAACUUAUGUAAUCCAAUGGUAAAAAUACAACUAAGGAAAGUUAGAAUAACUCUAUAUGCAGAUCGCUAAUUGCUAUAUGUAGUGGUUUGCAUUCAAGCCACUACAAAAGAAAGCUUCUUUCACCAUGGCCCUUGCAACUGCAAAAUAAGCCAUGGUGAAACCUAUUGUUGGGUUCAACAAAAACUAAGCCUGAAUUCGUUUUGUCUUAUCAAAUUUGUUAAAAACAUAUUUCAGCUCAUUUCUCAAAACAAAUAAAAUCAAAAAAGUUUUUAAAAAAAAGCAAAAGAAGUGUUAUUACUCUUAUGGCUUGUGCUUUCUCUGAUUCGUGCUUUUUUGGAAGUUUAUUCAAUUCAAAUUUAGUUCUCCUUCUUUCUAUAUUUAAUUUUUAUUUUUAAAAAGUGAAAAAGCUUGUUGUUGGAAUUGUGUGAAAGGCCCAAGAGGAAGUUUAGUUCUUAAAAUCUAAUUGAGGAAAAAAAUUGGUGUCUAUUUGCUAUAGGAUCCGUUGCUUCUUCGUUUACAACACAUAGGUGAGAAACUUACUGAUUAUUGUGUAAUUUAUCCUCAUUAUUUUCCUUUGCUUUCUAGUUACUACUCUAUUUUGAGUUCAUUCAAUGGCGAUAUUUAGGCUUGAUCCAACUCUGUCUUCAUCGAUGAUUUUUAGAUUUUGCUUGUAAUUGAAAGGUGUGUGUUAUGAUUUUAAGCUUGUUUUACUGAUUCGAUAUAGUUUUGAGAAAAAUACAGGUAAGAUUUAAUGUAUUUUGAGUUUCUUUUUACGUUUUAAUAUUCAAUACAUCGAAUCUGAGCUUUAUUUCGUUUUAAUGCUUAGUUAAGAUAAGUUGUUAUUAUUAUUGGUUAAAUUGAGUAAAAUGAAUUUUGACUAUUGAACUAUAACUUAUCUAGAGCAAAUUUUAAUAGUUAAAUUAUGUUUAAGCAAUUUUGGUGGAUGAUUCUUUUUGGCUACUGAAUUUGAAUUUGAUGAAUUGGAUUGCUGAAUUGUAGUUUAUCUAGAGUCAAUUUUGGUUGUUGAAUUUUAUUUUACUAGCUUCUGUCACUUAUUCUACUUGUUCACUGAAUUUUGAAUUUGAUGAAUUGGAUUGUUGAACUGUAGUUUAUCUAGUUGAAUUAUGUUUGAGCAUCUUUUGUGACUAAAUUCUGAAUUGGAUAUAUUGGAUGACUAAGCUGAACUUACCUAAAGUGAAUAUUAGUGGUUGAGUUUUGUUUGAGCAGUUUAUGUGGCUGAUUUCAUUUGCCUAUGGAAUUCCGAACUUGAUGUACAGUAAUGAAUAAAUUGAAGCUUAUGUAAACAUAAUUUUGUAACUGAGUUCUAUUUGAGCAUUUUCAAGUUGAAAAUUCAAAUAUUUUAAUUUCUUAAAAUAAAAUUUUGCUAAUUUUUUGCAUGCAUUUAACCAUAGACUUGUUCAAGAAUUAUGAAGAAAGCACACGUGUUCAUAUUGUUAUCUUGUAAUGACUUAAAUGUUGUAUGAUUCAAUGUGUUUAGGAUGAUACACGAUACUGGUUAGCUAUGAUUCAUGUGCAAAUGACGAUAUGGUUGGAAUGAUACAUGAUGCAAUGUGUUUUCCAAAUUAGGCUUUUGUUUACCUAAAUGUAGCUUCUAGGAGUUUCGAUUUAAAACCUAUUGUGCUAAAUUAUCUCCCAUCUUCUAUGGCCUAGAAAAUGAAGACCGAUAAAUCAUUUGAAUGAUUUUCAUGUUGUUUGCCAAACUCUUAAAUAUGAAAAUUUUUCAGAUGAGGAUGUUAAACUUAGGUUGUUUCCAUUUUCUGUAAAGGAUAGAGCUCGUUCUUGGUUUAAUACAUUGCCCACUAAUAGUAUCACAUCAUGGGAAAUUUUUAAAUAAAUACUUCUUAGUGCAUUAAAAAAAUGCUAUUCGCAGGGAAAUCUCAGAGUUUACUUAGAAAGAAAAUGAAUGGCUAAUGGUGACAAGUGGAGGUAAGCUAAUUUAUAAAAACGCAUUAGAAAUUUAGGACUUUUUCUAACAAUAAGCAGAUAAUUCCCACUAGCGAAGCUAACCAUUCAGGAAUGUGAAAAAAAUCAAUAGAGUAAAUGAAGUCCACAUUGGCAAGUCAAGAUUGAAAAAUCAAGGAAGUAAAAGAAAUAGUUUGAGGACUUUCUCAUCAAAUAGCAUCAUUAACAGCUACCAAAUCAACAGAGCUAUAUGCCUACAACUAAUUUGACCAUGAUUCAUACAAUGAUCAAGCUAAUGCCAUUAAUGUGAUGAGGAAUCAGUCGAACUACAACAUUUACUCCAAUACUUACAACCCUGAAUGGAGAGACUAUCCUAACUUUUCAUGGUCUCAUGGAUUCUGACAAAACAGAACAACAGCUGUAGCUUGACCAGUGGAGCUCUAACUUUUCAUGGUCUCAUGGAUUUUGACAAAAUAGAACAACAGCUUUAGCUCGACUAGUGGAGCUUUAACUUUUCAUGGUCUCAUGAGAGCUGGCAUAAAUUCACAAGCCCAAUCAAUUUCGAACCUUGUAAAGAUAGUGGGUCAACUUGUCACUUCUAUUCAAACCUUGACGAUGACUGUUGAAAAAGACAAAUUCCCAAGCUAGCUAGUGCCCAAUCCUAAAUGAGUAAAUGAAGUGGAGAUGCUGAAGUCAUGACUUUGUAAAAAGACAAAGAAGUCAACAACGAAGUGGAGAUGCUGAAGACCAAGACAACUUAAGUUAUACCUUUAGAGUCUAAGAACUCAUCACCAAAGGAGAAAGAAGAAAGCAACCCACAAGAAUAUAUCCCCAAAGCUCUUUUUCCCUGGAGGUUAGCUAAAGCAAAGAAGGGAAAUUCCACAUGUGAGAUUAUGGAAAUCUUUAAAUAGGUAUGUGUUAUCAAGUUUCUUAAAGACGUUUACAUUAAAAAAAGAAGUAUUCAUGUUCAAAAGAAGACAUUUUUAAUAGAGAACAUGAGUUCCAUACUCCAACAGAAAAUUUAUCUAAAAUACAGAGAUUCAUGCUCCCCAACCAUCUCAUGUAAUAUAGAGAACCACAUAAUUAAGAAUGCUUUGUUAGACUUAGGAGUUAGUGUAAAUCUUUUCCUUAGUAUUUGUGAACUUGGAUUGGAAGAACUACAUCCAACUCUAGUUGUGUUGUAGGUGUUGAGUGUUAGAAAGUGUAUAUUUAUAAAGGAGAAAAUCGUCAUUUUACAUUUAAAGUCUUACUAACAUCCUUACUUUUAUGUAUUUAAGCUUCUUGUGAUUUAAUUAUGUGUGUUUUAUUUUAAUUAAGUAUUUUAUGUAUUUUAGGGACAUCAUGGUUAUUUUACAAUGAACGAGAAUUCAGACAGCAAAACAGACAUCAUUUUUGAACUCAGGACAGUUGAAAACCUUAGGAAGAGCAUAAAAGGAAAAAUGGCACCGUUCACAUGUACGGUACUAUUCACAUGUACGAUACUGUCUAUGUUACUGCUCAUGACAUUGUUCACGUAGAUGGAUUGAUGACGUGGCAUUGAUCGAUGAUGUGACAUUGAUUGAUGAGGUGUCACAAUCUUGUUGAACUAAAAUUCUUAUGUACUGUUGAUCGGUGAUGUGGCAGCAUGUUAGUGGACCAAAAAUCGCACUUACGGUACAUGCAUAUACACAGGAUUAUUUUCAAACAAACCGCGUCAUUGUUCAAACCGCAUCACUAUUCAAACCGCGUGGUCAAACCGUGUUACUAUUCAAACUGCGUACUGUUGACUGAUGACGUAGCGCAAUCCUGAGUGUCCGAAAUGUUUUUUAUCCGAUGGCCAUGAUUUACUCAAUGUAUCUAUAAAAGGGGGCUUCCCCCCCUAAUUUGGCAUCUCUGAAUUCAUUUUUGAGCUCCAUUUUCUGUAAUUCCUUCUCCAUCUUGUAUUUUCUAUGUAUUUUAGUAAAUUCCUAUUUUACCCCUAGUUCAAUUAUGAGUAGCUAAUUUUCUUUCAAGCUUGGGUUGAAGGUGAAGUCUCAACAUGUGCCAUGGGCUUUAUUUGGUAAAUUUACAUUCUCUUCCCCUCUAAUUAUUGUGGAUGUUUUGACUUUUCGUCUAAAAAUAGUAAUAAUCUUGUCUAGAUACCGCCCUGGUUUCACCGGCUCCCUAAUACAAGGUUAUUAUUAUUUGGCACAAUAAGCCCUUAGUACCAUAUUGAUUAGAGUGUGGUUCAUGAGGUGUGGAUUCCCCGCUCGUGAUUUAAUUGGCAUUAAUAAGGAAUAUUUAGCCCAUGGAGCAUGUUGAUGCAGAUCCAGAUACCCAAGUGCUUCAAAUUUUAGGAUAAUCUAAGCUACUUUCACCACAAAUCCAACUACCCACUUAGAAAAUUAAUUCUACCCAUAAUUAAAAUCCACCUCCUCGUGGGAUCGACACUCGUCACCAUUAAUCUAUUCUACAAUAGAUUUGUGCGCUUGCGAGUUCAAUAAAUUUUGCACAACAAGUUUUUGGCACCGUUGCCGGGGAGGUAAGUUAUUUUAAUUCGUAGAAUUAAUUUUUGUAAAUAAUUUUAUUUUUUUGUUAUUUUCUUGUAAUUUUUAUUUAAAAAAAGUGAAUCUACAUUUAGAGGUAAGAAUUUCUUUUCUUUUUCUCUUCUUUAAAAUUCUGUAAUUUAAUUUUAAGUUAUUUUUUUCGUAAUUUUUGGUUUAUCUUAUUAAUUUAUUUUAAUUUUAGCUAAUUUAUUUCACAAAUUUUUUUUUUAGUGUGUUUUCAUAGUAAACUUGUAAUAGCGUGAAAAGGUUACCUAAUCUUGAGCCUAUAGAUCUUGAACUUGAAAAAACACUUCGCACACACAAACACGUUGUAAUUAAAGAUAAAAGUGAAAUGGAUUUACAACAACAACAAGCACCACAGGAGAGGCCAUUUAAGGACUACUUCAAUCCCUUAGCUAAUUUGAGCACAUCUUGUAUAAGAUACCCAAAUGUAGCUGCUAGGAGUUUGAACUAAAACCUAGUGUGCUAAAUUGUCUCCCAACAUUCUAUGGCUUAGAAAAUGAGGACCCAUAUAAUCAUCUGAAUGAUUUUCAUACUGUUUGUCAAACUUUUAAAUAUGAGAAAUUUUCAGACGAUGAUGUUAAACUUAGACUAUUCCCAUUUUCUUUAAAAGAUCGAGCUCGUUCAUGGCUCAAUACAUUGCCUGCUAAUAGCAUUACAUCAUGGGAAUAAAUGGUAACGGAAUUUUUGAAUAAAUAUUUCCCAGUGCAUAAAACCGAUGCUAUUCGCAGGGAAAUUUCAGAGUUUACCUAGAGAGAAGACGAGCAGUUUUUCAAAACAUGGGAGCGAUUCAAUGGGCUACUCUUGAAGUUUCCACAUCAUGGGUACGAUAAAUGACACCAAUACCAAUACUUUUUCGAGGGAUUAUUGCCGCAUGUGCAAGAAUGACUAAUGGCAACAAGUGGAGGAGAGCUAAUGUCAAAAAGAGCAUCAGAGAUUUGGGAGUUCUUUCAGCGACAAGCGGAUAAUUCCCAACAACGGAGUCGAUCACUCAAGAAUACUAAAAGAAUUAAGGGAGUGAAUGAGGUUCACAUUGGCGAGUCAAGUUCAGGAAUUAAAGAAGUCAAAGAGAUAAUUGAAGGUCUUUCCCAACAAAUAGCGUCGUUAACGACUGCUAAAUCAACAGAACCACAUGACCAUGACUCAUACUCAGAUCAAGCCAAUGCCAUAGGUGUAAUGAGAAAACCAUCAAAUUACAACCCAUACUCCAACACAUAUAAUCCUGGAUGGAGAGACCACCCUAAUUUUUCAUGAUCUUAAAGGAUUCCAACAUAAUGGACCAGCAGCUCCACCAAUGCAACCAAUUCCCUAAGUUCCUCAAGCCUCUCAGCCCCCAUUUAAACCAUACAAUUAGAACCAGAACUACUCUCAACCUAGACCAUGGGAGGAUUCAUUCCAGAAUCUCAAGAAUCUUACUCACUCCACGAUUGAGCAACAAAACCGGACCAUUGAUGAACUACGAGAUGAGAUGAGAGCAGGCUUCAAAUCACAAGCCCAAUUAGUUUCAAGCCUCGAGAAGAUAGUGGGACAACUUGCUUCUUCAGUUCAGAUCUUGGCAAUGACUGUUGAGAAAGGCAAGUUUCCAAGUCAACCAGUGCCUAAUCCUAAAGGAGUGCAUGAAGUAAGUACCAGCUCACCACAACAGCAUGGAUACCUGUGAAUGUUGAGGACUCACUAUCGAAAGAGAAAGAAGAAACCAACCCACGAGAAUAUGUUCCUAAAGCUCAAUUUCCUCAGAGGUUAGCUAAAGGAAAGAAGGGAAAAUCCACAGGUGAGAUUCUUGAAAUCUUUAAACAGGUAAGUGUUAACAUCCCUUUGCUUGAUGCUAUAAAACAAGUGUCAUCUUAUGCCAAAUUUCUUAAAGACCUUUGUACUAAAAAGAGAAACAUUCACGUUCAAAAGAAGGCAUUUUUAACAGAAAAAGUUAGUUCUAUACUCCAACACAAAAUUCCUCUAAAAUGCAAAGACCCAGGUUCCCCCACUAUCUCAUGUAGUAUAGGGAACCACACAAUUGAGAAUGCUUUGUUGGAUUUAGGAGCUAGUGUAAAUAUGUUGCCUUAUUCAGUUUUCAUGAAACUUGGACUGAGAGAAUUACACCCAACUUCAGUGGUGUUACAGCUUGCAGAUCGGUCCACGAAAAUACCUCGUGGUAUUGUGGAGGACGUGCUUAUCCAGGUAGACAAGUUUUAUUUUCCUGUUGAUUUCAUUGUAAUUGACACUCAACCAAUCCAGGAUUUAAGAAAGCACAUCCCCAUUAUCCUAGGCCGACCUUUCUUGGCAACUAUCGAUGCUCACAUUCAAUGCAGGACUGGAAAUAUGUAGUUGUCCUUUGGCAACAUGACUAUGGAGCUAAACAUCUUCUACAUUGCCAAACAACCUCACAAUGCAGAUGAUGGAAUUGUUGAUGCAAAUUUAAUAGAAGAAAUAGUUGAUGAUACUUUUAUUUCAAACCUUAGUGAUGAUCCUUUACAAACAUGUUUAACUCACUUUGGUUUGGAUUUUGAUAUUGACAGAUCAGUCGAUGAGAUCAAUGCUCUACUUGACUCAGUGCCAUCCAUGGACACUAAUAAAUGGAAGUCAAGAGUUGAACAACUAGCACCAUCAGAGAACAAACUCAUCCCAUGAUCAGAAUCACCACCGAAACUCGAGCUCAAACCAUUACCCAACACUUUGGAAUAUGCAUUUUUGGGAGAAGAAAGCACUCUACCGGUAAUCAUCUCAUCAUCCCUAAAUGACGAACAAAAAGGUAAGUUGUUGGAUGUUUUAAAAGAGCACAAAUGAGCAUUAGGAUGGACCAUAGCUGACAUAAAAGGUAUAAACCCAGUAGACUGCAUGCAUUACAUUCACCUUGAUAAAAAUGCUAAACCUACUAGGGAAAUGCAAUGUCGGUUAAAUCCUAAUAUGAAAGAAGUUGUUAGAACUGAAGUCCUUAAGUUAUUAGACGCAGGUAUCAUUUACCCAACUUCUGAUAGUUCAUGGGUCAGUCCUGUACAAGUUGCCCCCAAAAAGUCAGAAGUCACAGUAGUUACUAAUGUUGAUAAUGAAUUGAUACCCACUAGAGUGACUACAAGAUGGCAUGUAUGCAUUGAUUAUAGAAAGUUGAAUUCUAUCACACGUAAAGAUCAUUUUCCUUUACCAUUUAUCGAUCAAAUGCUUGAUAGAUUAGCAGGCCAUGAAUUUUAUUGCUUUCUAGAUGGCUACUCAGGAUAUAAUCAGAUUCCCAUAGCACCAAAAGAUUAAGAGAAAACCACUUUCACUUUCCUUUUUGACACUUUUGCAUAUAGGAGGAUGCCAUUUGGAUUAUGUAAUGCGCUUGGUACAUUUCAACGAUGCAUGUUGAGCAUUUUUUCUGAUAUGGUUGAACAAUUUCUUGAAGUCUUUAUGGAUGACUUUUCUAUUUUUGGUGAUUCUUUUGAUCAAUGUUUACAUCAUCUAACACUAGUUCUGCAGAGAUGUAUCGAGAAGAACUUAGUCUUAAAUUGGGAGAAGUGCCAUUUUAUGGUAAAACAAGGUAUUGUUCUCUGUCACAUCAUUUCAAGCAAAGGUAUUGAGGUUGACAAAGCUAAGGUGGAUCUCAUUUCCAAUCUUCCUCCGCCUAAAACAGUCAGAGAAGUAAGAUCUUUCCUUGGGCAUGCUGGUUUUUAUCGACAUUUCAUUAAAGAUUUUAGCAAAGUUUCUAGACUCUUAUGCAAUUUACUUACUAAGAAUGUACCUUUUAUCUUUGAUGAUUCAUGUCUUCUGGCAUUUGGAAAACUAAAGCAAUUGUUGACAUCAUCACCCAUCAUUCAACCCCCAAACUGGAGCUUACCAUUCGAGCUCAUGUGUGAUGCAUUUGAUUAUGCAGUAGGAGCAGUAUUAGGACAGAGAGUUGAUCAAAUUCCCUAUGUUAUUUACUAUGCUAGUAUGACAUUGAAUGAUGCACAAUUGAACUAUUCAACUACUGAAAGAGAAAUGCUAGUAGUAGUGUUUGCAUUAGAGAAAUUUCGAUCUUAUCUCAUUGGUUGUAAAAUAAUUGUGUUCACCGAUCAUGUUGCUCUUAAAUCUCUUCUCACAAAGAAAUAUGCAAAAGCUAGACUAAUUCGUUGGGUGUUACUUUUACAGGAAUUUGAUUUGGAAUUCAAAGAUAAAAAAGGCAUAGAAAAUGUUGUGGCUGACCAUCUGUCUUGUCUCAAUUUUGACACAAUUACAGAGGUAUUAACAUUAAAUGAGGCAUUAACAAAUAAGGGUCAUCCCAAAUGAACAAUUAUUGAGUGUGGAAGUAUUACCAGGACAAAGCCAAAUUUUUUACAGAAAUAAAGAAUUUCUUUUGGGAUGACCCUUAUUUGUUCAAGUAUUGUGCAGAUCAAAUUGUUAGACGAUAUAUCCCCGAAAAUGAAUUUCAAAAUAUCCUUUCAUUCUGCAAUGAACAAGCUUGUGGAUGUCAUUUCAACGCUAAGAAAACAGUUACUAAAGUUUUACAAUGUGGUUUCUAUUGGCCAACUAUAUUUUAAAAUGCUUACACUUUCAGUUCUUCAUGUGAUAGGUGUCAACGAAUGGGGAGCAUUACGCGAAGGAAUAUGAUGCCACUAAAUCCAAUUUUAGUGGUUGACAUUUUUUAUGUAUGGGGUAUCGACUUCAUGGGACCAUUUCCUCUUUCUUUUAGCCAUCAAUACAUAUUGGUUGUUGUUGACUACGUAUCGAAAUAGGUAGAAGCAAUUUCGUGCAGAACUAAUGAUCACAAGGUGGUGAUAGGAUUUUUGAAAAGCAACAUUGUUUCACGCUUUGGAUUCCCUCGAGCAAUAAUUAGUGAUGGUGGUGCCCACUUUUGUAACAAAGCAUUCAAAACUCUUUUGACAAAGUAUUCCAUCACUCACAAAGUGGCGACCCCAUAUCAUCCACAAACUAGUGGCCAAGUUGAGAUCUCCAAUCGAGAAAUAAAGCACAUAUUAGAAAAGACAGUGAGGCCGGACAGAAAAGAUUGGUCAUUAAGACUCGAUGAUGCAUUAUGGGCAUAUAGAAUGACUUUUACGACCCCAAUUGGAAUGUCACCCUAGAGGCUAGUGUAUGGAAAAGCUUGCCACCUACCUGUGGAACUCGAGCAUCGUGCAUAUUGGGCCAUCAAGAAAUUCAACUUUGACAUGCAGCAAGCUAGUUCAGAAAGAAGAUUACAACUGGCAGAAUUUGAAGAAAUUCGCAAUGAUGCAUACGAAAAUGCCAAGAUUUACAAGCAACAAAUGAAAGUCUUUCAUGACAAGCAAAUUAUGAGAAAAUCUUUCACUCCAGUUUAGAAAGUGCUUUUAUUCAAUUCUCGCUUGCACCUAUUCCCAGGUAAGUUACGCUCUCGAUAGUCUGGCCCCUUUAUUGUUUAUACUGUUUUUCCACAUGGGGCAAUUGAAAUUAAGGACCCAAAGAACGGUGUCACGUUUAAAGUUAAUGGUCAAAGAUUAAAGCCAUAUCUAGAGUACUAAUCACAUGGAGAGGACACCAAAAUAAAUUUGAGUGACCCACCAGAUUUGAAUUGAGUUUUUUCUUUCUUUUCGGUGAUUUGAUUUUUUUCUUUCUUUUUACUAUUCUUUUGGUAAUUGAAAUUAUUUUUGCAUAGGUGUGUUUGUUUAACCAUUAAGUUUUCUCUUAUCAUUGUUAAUCAUGAGUGCCAUAGCUAAACAGUUCCUCCUGGACAUUCUUAGACCACUUCAACGCGUAAAAUCUCAUCUCAAAAGACAGAUUCGAUUUUGUAAAACAAAUCAUAUUUGGGCUCUGCAACCACCGGAGUUAGUAUCCCAUGUUGAGGAUUUAGAAAGCUAACUCAGAGACAUUGAGAGAGGUGUCUACAACAUCCAGUUGGAGCUUGAGGUAAAUUCAAUAAGAGGACGAUUGUAAUUUUAUUUAUGUGUUUUAGUUUGUUUUUCUUUGUUUGUGUGCUUUAGUUUGUUUACCCCGGUGAAGAGGCGGAUAAUGGUACUCCGUGACAACAAGUCGGUUACUUCAGUUUCCUAUAAUAACUGAUCUUCUGAGGCGAAGGUAUGGACAAAAACGAGAUUCUAGCAAAGCUUCACAAUCGAUUCCCUUCACUUCCUCAGAAUGCCCUCCUUACAAUCCAUAAAGCUCGGUCCGAAUGCAUGCGAUUGCUUAUGAGGAAUAACAUACCUGCUGACAUUCGCUGGUUAAUCGAGGCCAAAGUACGAUUGGCAGGUGAGUUGCCUCCAAAAUUUAUUGCAUACAUGCCUGGUUGUGGUAAAGGAAAUUAUGUAAGAAAACGAAGAGCUCGAAGAAUUUCUGUUGCUUGUCAUAAGUGUGCUAGAAUGAGAUGCGACAAAAAAACCAUGUUCUUUAGGAAUGGUGUCUGAUAACAGGGAAGAUUAGAUUCAAUUCAUUAGGGAUGGCUUGAAUAAGGAGUCAUCUCUUGAAACGCAUCCCAGUGGAUAUGUGCAAGGAGCGAUUCUCUAGUUAUGGUCAUUAUUCUAGAAAGAGCAUGCACGAUAUAGUCUUGGGAAUCUGACUAUAAACGACCAUGUUCGCCAGUUUAUAAGAAAACUGGAUGGGAAGGCUAUCCUCGACCCAUAGAGGGUGUUCAAGCCGUUUCUGGACGUAAAACUAGAGGAAGAUGUGAGCCACAGUCGCAACUACCUAUAAAUAUCCUUUUACUUCACUGUUGUUUUAUCAUUUGCAUUAUUGUCUUUAAUAAUUUUAUUUUAUCACUGUUUACUUUUUCCUUUUUACUAUUUCCUUUUUGACUCUCGAGCCAUGUGCUUUACGCGUUAAUUGACACUAACAUGCUACCUCAUACACAACUGUGACCCACUGUCAUCAAGAUUCUUAAAUAUGACUUUUUUUUGUUCAGCACUUGCAAAUUGUUUUUGAGAAGUAUCCCAAUGGCAGCUACUCCCAAUAAACAAUUCAAGAACUAUGGCAAACAUAAAGAGUUCGUUGAAGCAGCCAUAAAUCUUGGUCGCAACAUAGUAGAGAGAAAAUUAUACUUGGUGUAUGGAGGAGGUAACUGAGGGUUAUCAAAAUUGGUCUCAGAAGCUGCUUUUUUCAGAGGAAGCCAAGUGUUAGGCAUCAUUCCAAGAGCCCUAAAACCUUUGGGCAGUUUGUCUGACUCACCAACUGGAGAAGAAUUAGUUGUCUCAGGUAUGCAAGAAAGAAUAACUGAAAUGCUUAAUCAUGUUGAUGCUUUUAUUUUCCUACCAGGAGAUCUUGCAACUCUAGAGGCACUUAUCACAUUAGCAUCUUGGGCCUAUCUGCACAUUCACCAGAAACCCAUCGGUUUGCUAAAUGUCAAUAACUUUUAUGAUGGCUUCAUCGCAUUUCUUAACCAUGCAAUAAAAAUCUAUUUCAUUCCUUCCACAGCGAAAAAGCUUUUUAUUUGUGCUCAUACUGCUAAUGAGCUACUUGAUAUGUUACAAGCUUAUAGACCGGAGCCAGACCCCUGGACCUUGGUGUUGGAGCGUCCAAAUAAUGAUGGUAACAGUAGCCGCAGUAAAAAGUACAAAUUAGACUUAACUCUCCGCUUGUAAAUAUUUUCUUUUGUGUUACACCACCCAGGUGAUGUCUUCUAAACUCUACUUCUUUUCUUUAAAACAUUGAGGACAAUGUUUCGUUCUGGUUGGGGGGAGGGAAUAGUCGACAAUUGUGAAAUCUUGGUUAAGUUUUUACUAAUUUUUUUGUUGUAGAGACUAACCGUGGCUAACUUUUGUGUUGAAGAUGGCUGAAUAUGGAAUGUAGUGACUCUAGAAGCGCAUCUUCUUUGUUUGAAAAAAAAAACAAAAAAAUAAAAAAACGAAAAAAAAAUUUCGGACAUUUUCUUUUUCUUUAUUAAGUUUUGAAAAUAAUUUUUCUUCUUCUUUUUAAUUUCUCCUUUAUAAAUAUACACUUUCAAAUUUUUGAGUCGAAGAUGGCUGAAUAUGGAGUGCAGUGCCUCUAAAAAUGCAUCUUCUUAGUUAAAAAAAAAACCAUUUUCGUUUUCUAUCAUUUUAAGUGUAACUUUUCUAAUUAGCUUUUCUGCAUCAUUUUUCACCUUUCUGCAUGCAUAUCUUCUUUUCAUGUUUAGAAUAGGUUGGGGGGUAGACUGUCAUUUAAAAACAAUUGUGUGAUUUUUUUUUUAUAUUGGAUGACAUGAUGACUUUCAAAUUUUAGUAUUUGUAUUAUCUCUGGUCUUAAGUGAUAUUAUGCUAUGUUUGCUAUUUUAUAUGUUGAUGUCGGAGACAAAUAUGAGUUACUUGAAGGAAUGCACAUGUCAUAAUAAAUACCAAGUGAGUUUUUUAGCCUGUCAUUUUUCUUGUAAAGUAACCCAUUUUGCCCAUUCUUUAUACAGCUUAGCAGUUUAUUAUUUUAUAUAUGAUCUCUAAAUUUUUUUUGAGUCAACUCUCUAAAAAGAAAAAAAAUUAAGAUAAAAAAAAGAAGAAGAAAAUGUGUGUUGCUAGUAGAUAUGGAAGAUUAUUUAGAGCCUUAAAAGACGAUGGAAAGGCCAUCUUUGACCCGUUUGAGCCUUUCUAGCCAUCCCUUUUGUGAAAAAUCCAUAGUUAACCCUUUUGAGCCUUUAUUAAAAAAAAAACUUUUCUUUGUCAAACUUAUCAUCUUGAUCCACUCCAAUUUGGAGUAUUACCCUAUAUUUUACAAGUUCCAUCACCUAUUUAUGUUUGAGAAAAAUGUAAAUAAUUAUUUUGUUUAGUGAAGUUGUGCCAAACAAAAGAAAAAAAAGAAAAAAAUUGUUGUUUAAAAAAAAAGAAAAAAAAAACAAUAAUAGGUGAAAUCCACCUUGUAAUUUCCAAAAGAUUUCUACUUUUUCUCAAACAUAUAUUUUAUUUUUUCCUAUUUUCCUUCAUUUUUUAGCCAUGUUCUUAGCCUACGUUACAUCCUAAUAAAAGUCCUUCCUGAUUUUAGGGAGCUAUAGUCUGAAGUAGAAGCUAGUUAUAUGGGCUAAAAAGAUGUAGUGGUGCAUAAAAAACUAAAUAAACAAAUAAAUAAAUUGGGUUGACUAGCAUUUUUGUUUGACUUAGAAGAUCGUAUUAUUUCUAAGCUGUGGGCAUAUUUCUUUCAUCUUGGUGAGAGCGUGUGACAUUACUUCUUUAUUAUUUUCUCUCAAAUUUAGCAUUCAUUGAAGUGACUAUUUUUAUUGGGUUUAAUUUCCUUGUGAGAGUGUCACUACAUCCAGUGAGAUUUUGGGGUUUGACAUGUCAUUCUUGAAAGUAGUUGUGACAAAGUCUAUUGGGCUGAUUCAUGUGGAUGGUUGAUGUGGGUGUGAUGUUUCUGUAGACUGGAGAUAAUGCUUAUACUUUUAUUUGAUUGCUAUCAUUAGUCUGAUUGAAUAAACACAAGUGUUAAAAAAAAACAUUUUGGAUUUGAAUUUUGUUGUCGCUUUAUUUGCUAGGGACUAGCAAUAAGCUGGUUGGGGGGUGUGUUGAGUGUUAGAAAGUGUAUAUUUAUAAAGGAGAAAAUCAUCAUUUUACAAUUUAGGAAGAUUUGAAUACCAAUAGGUUUUUUGGUAAUCAAAGAAGUAGUGAAGACUUUGCCGUUGAUGGCUUUGAAAUGUUCUUCAGACUCGGUCUAGUAUUGUGAUGGAAGAAUGUGUGGAUUUAACAUGCUUCAUUGGGCGCCAGUGUCGAUGAGGCCAAUGGCUGGGACGGGCCUUUGGAACUUUGAGGGCAAGAUCUGGAGUUUAAUGGAAGGUAUAGGAACAACAGUGUCGAGGGACAGUAACUGUUGGUGGAAAAUCACUUGGGACUGAUCACCGUCGGAAUCAUCAGAGGAGUUGUGCAGUGCGAACACAGUUUCAUCAUUGGGUUCAUCUUGUUCAGAGAAAUAGAAUUCCAGUUCAUCCUUCUCGGGAGAGUAGUCUGUAGUGGCUUGAAGAUGCUCAACUAGCCGAAUAGAUUUUUCCCUUUUGUUGGGACAAUCUUUGGCGUAAUGGCCUUUUCUCUUGCAGAUGAAACAUCUGCUUGAUUUUCUCCGUUUAAAGUCUCUAGAAGAAGAUGACUUCUUUCUGAAGAAUCUGUAAGGCUUUUUGGAUCUGCGAGGUCUGGAUGAAAAUUCUGGAUUUUUGAAUUUCCUAAAAUGCCUUUCUUCUUAGAACUGCAAUCACAAUCCUUUUUCUUCUGACAUUUGAUUUGCAAAUAAGGCUUUUUGCAAGCACUCCGGAAUGGUUCUUUAUCUUUCAACAGUUCUUUAAAAAACUGUUUCUGCUCACAAAGUUUGUCAAGACAAGUUUUGGCAAGCUGGAAGAUUUUGCCAAGAGAGAUGUUGUCAAGAACAAGAUUGGAUGCGGUGAGUUGUCGCUGUAUGUCUGGCUGGAGUUCUUCUGGUAGGGAGGCCAGAAAGACAUGCUUUAAUGUCGGCUUAUUGAAUCCAUUAAGCUUAUAGAACAACAAGGACAUUCGUUUGUAAUGGAAAUCAAGAUCCUUAGCAUUGAGGGAACAACAUUUCAUGUUGAGAUAGUCUCGGCGUGCAGGUUCAAAAACUGCAGAGGGGUCUCCAAGAAAUUGAUCAUGGAGAACCGCAAGAGCACUUGAGACUUCUGGUAGAUCAACAAACUGUAAUCGGCGGUAGCACCCUAAAGAAUCAAACCAAUCUCUUAGAGCACCCGUAAAACGAGUAGCAAAUUCUCUAAGGACUGAUUGAGUUGUGGCUCCUGGCCGUAGCAUUUGGAGGUCAAUCCAGGCGGACAUUUCAUUAAGUCGGUCAUGCCAUUUAUGAUAUGGAAGAUCAUCAAAUGUGAACCAUGGACCAUUCGACGAUUUUUGACUUGUAGAACCGGUCUGGGCUUGAGCUGGAGGAGGUUGGUUUAUGGCAGAAGAUUCAGGCAUUUCUUCUUCAACUUCAGAGGGAAUAUCAACAUAUGGUUCUGUAUGAGAAGUUUGGCCUUGGGCAUGUUGGUCAGGUUGAGCCAUCAAGAUUUUAGUGAUAUCAGCAUAGGACUUUUCAGAGUCACUGGUGGAUGCUGAAGAUUCUGUGUCAGUUUUGGUAUGGCUAUCAGAAACAGCUAGAUUUGAAUCAGAAGUUUGGUCAUCUAAAGAAGAUGAGUGGUCGACUUUGUGGGCACUAAACUGGUGCACGGGUUCUUUAUCCUUAGAUUGGGUCGGAGGUUGGGAUAAAGGGGCUGAUGGAGGAGCUGGUGGUGAUGCCGGCGCAUAACCAGCAGAUAGUUGGCCAGGGAUGGAAAUGGAUGAAGGAUGAAUUGUGAUAGGUCGUGGUUGUGGUCUAGGCUUUGAUUUUGAUUUAGGUGGUGGUUGUAAGGGGUGGUCUCUAAAAAGAGUAUGAGUCAUGCCAAAUAACUUGGAAGGAUUAUACUGUUUGAUCGAGGAAAGCAUAGAGGCAAAUGGGUGAUAAGUUGGACCGAUGGAAGGGAUAGGAGGGGAUGUGAUAAAAAGAGUAGGUCUUUAUUUUUCAGAUUCAAUAUGAUCAAGCUCAGCUUUUAAGCGUCUGAUUUCCCUUUCUUUUUGGUUAAAUUCUGGGCCAUAGUAGCGCUGGGCAAGCAUAAUUUGUAACUCAGAAUCGAGUUGAGCAAUUCUAGACUGGAGAUUGUGAUGGAUCUGCUGCAUCUGUGUAGUGAUGGAGUCAACUUUUGUCUCAAGUUGUUCAGUUUGCAAAUUGAUUUUUUCAACUUUGGAAUUGAUAUUCAACAAAGUAUCAUUCUGUGCUCUGGCAUUUUGGGUUUGCCAGUUGAGGACUGAUUCAAAUGGUUUGGGAGGUUCAAGGUGGCCAGAGGAGGUAAUUGGUGAAGGGACAAAGGGUUUAGACACAACAUUUCGUUGGGAAUCUGUGUGAGUGUCUAAGGGAGGAAAAGAAGAAGAAUAGUCUGAAGAAGUAGAUGAAAAUAUCAUACAAGUCAGUGGUGGUGUUGGAAAUGGGAUUGGUGAUGGAGUCUCAUAUCUGCAAUGCUUUGCAAUCCAUUGAAGUUCCUUUUUGUAAAAGGGUAAUGGAGCUGGUGGAGGGGGAGGAUCUUGCGGUGGUUUGGGGUCACAAUGGUGACAUGAGGCUGGAGAUUUUUUCUUUUUGUUUUUCUUUUUCCUUGUGGUGGCAUAAUCAUUAUCCUCUUCCUAAUCAUCCCAGCAAGGACAAUUUGGGUCACACAUGCCGGAGCCAGGGGCAUCCCAUAGGAAAUGGCCAUUUUACUUGGCUGGAUAAGCUAGGUAACCUUCAGAGUUGAACCCUGUAAUGGGUAAAUCUUCCUGGGCUGUCUGAACAAUUGUGAUAAUUGAAGAAUAGGUAAAGGAGAGCCGAGGAGGCUCUUGUGGAGCACUUGGAGGAGGUUUAAAAGUCAUUCGGACUGUUCCAUCUUGGCUUUUUUUAAACAUGCUUUCAGAUGUCUGAAUUGGAGCAGUAUUGUUAUGGAACUGUUCAUAGUUGGAGAUCCAUUCAAGAGGCAUAAGCUUGAUGAGCUCAUGACAUGGAAUUUGUCUUGGGAUUUGGAUUAUGGUUGGGAUCUGGUUAGAUUCAGCUAAUACCAUGAGGGUAUCAGAAUGGUGGUCUGGAGUGGGGAGAUCUAAGGCAUGAUUUUGAAGCCUAUAGACCAAUUGAUGGUGUAAGGUGGCAAUUUUGGCAGAAGAAAUUUGUUCAGCACCUUGGAUCUGAACUUGGACUUUUAAGGUUGUGGGCAAAUUGGGGUCUUGGAGAGAAAGGUUAAAGUUUGGAUAAAAGGUGAGUAAAACACUGCCUGCAUGAAGUGUUGUGAGGAUAGUGCCAAUAACAGCAUCUUGGUAUUGUUUAAACCGGGUAUCAAGCAUGGCAAGGCGAGCUGUAACCGGUAAUCCCUUUCUUCCCAUGAAGAGUAAGGAUUGAUCGGAUGCCUCCAAGAUGAAGAUGAGUAUAACCUUCUUGUUUCCAAUGGGAAAGCAACUCGGAGGGAAUUUCCAGAGUGACAUAUUGCUCAACAGAGGUGGCUUGGAGAGCACACUAAUCCAAGCGAGAAGACUGGAUAUAUUCCUUAGAGUGAGGGCGUCAGGUAGAGAUGAGGGUGCAUAUACUGCAGGUAAAGGAGCUAGGCUGUUUGUACAACUGAUAAGGGCUAAUGAGAGGAUAGGAUGACUCACUAAUUUGGGCAGACUUAGGGAUGUAGGAAUAUUCGACAAGGUUUUCGAUCUUAUUAGUGGUAUGAGAAGUGCAAGAUCUGGGCAAAGAAAGAGUAGAAGAAAGAGUAACAUGAGUGGAAGAUGAAGUAGAAGCCAUGAAUGAGAAGUUCUCUCUCUGCGCCUGAAGACUUAAGAUCAAAAGAGAAAGACUUAAUUCAUACCAUUUUGAGCAGGAAAAGAAGAGUUUUGAAAACAGAAACGUUUCAAGGAUGAGUAUGGCUAUGAUACCAUAAAUGUAUGUGGCGUUGUUCUACCUGAUCUACGACAGCACAAGUCUAUCCUUAGGGCCAGUAGCUCGCAAGUUCUGGUUUCCAACCGAUAUACAUAAAGGUACAAAACCUAAAACGAUUCUUUAGAGGUUAUAUAACCCAAAACAGACUUUUCUUAGUCUUAAAACAGGGUACUAAACCGUUUAAGAAAUCAUCAUUGGGUUCAUCUUGCUCAGAGAAAUAGAAUUCCAGUUCAUCCGUCGCGGGAGAGUAGUCUGUAGUGGCUUGAAGAUGUUUGACUAGCCGGAUGGAUUUCUCGCAUUUGUUGGGACAAUCUUUAGCAUAAUGACCUUUCCUCUUGCAAAUGAAACAUUGGCUUGAUGAUUUUUGUUUGAAUUCUCUAGAGGAAGAUGAUUUUUUUCUGAAGAAUCGGUAGGGCUUUCUGGACCUACGGGGUUUGGAUGAAAAUUCUGGAUUUUUGAAUUUCUGAAAAUGCCUUUUCUUCUUAUAACUGCAAUCACAAUCCUUUUUCUUUUUACAUUUGAUCUGCAAAUAGGGCUUUUUGCAGGCACUCCUGAACGGUUCGUUAUCUUGCAACAGUUCUUUGAAAAACUGUUUCUGCUCGCAAAGUUUGUCAAGGCAUGUUUUGGCAAUCUGGAAGAUUUUGCCAAGAGAGAUGUUGUCAAGGAUGAGAUUGGAGGUGAUGAGUUGCCGUUGUAUAUCGGGUUGGAGCUCUUCUGGAAGGGAAGCCAGAAAGACAUGCUUUAAUGUUGGCUCAUUGAAGCCAUUAAGCUUAUAGAAUAGUGAGGACAUUCGUUUGUAAUGAAAGUCAAGAUCCUUAGCAUUGAGUGAGCAGCAUUUCAUGUUGAGAUAAUCUCGUCGUGCAGCUUCAAAAACUACAGAGGGGUCUCCAAGGAAUUGAUCAUGAAUAACCGCAAGGGCACUUGAGACUUCUAGUAAUUGAACAAACUGUAAUUGUCUGUAUUGGCCUAAAGAAUCAAACCAAUCUCUUAGAGCACCCGUAAAACGAGUAGCAAAUUCUCUAAAGACUGAUUGGGUCGUUGCUCCUGACCGUAGCAUUUGGAGGUCAAUCCAAGCAGACAUUUCAGUAAGUCUCUUGCGCCAUUUAUGAGAUGGAAGAUCAUCAAAUGUGAACCAUGGACCAUUUGAUGAUUUUUGACUUGUUGGACCGGUCUGGGCUUGGGCUGGACGGGGUUGGUGUGUUGCAGAGAAUUCAGGUAUGUCCUCAUCAACUUCUGAAGGAAUAUCAACAUAUGGUUCUGUGUGAGAGGGUUGGCCAUGAUCAGGUUGAUCAGGUUGGGCCAUCAAGAUUCUGGUGAUAUCAGCAUAGGACUUUUCAGAGUCACUAGUGGAUAUUGAAGACUCUGUGUCAGACUCAGUAUGGCUGUUGGAAAUGGCUAGAUUGGAAUCAAAAGUUUGAGCAGAAGUUUGAUCAUCUGGAGUAGAUGAUGGAUCUACGGUGUGGGCACUAUACUGGUGCAUGGGUUUUUUAUCCGACAGUGCAGACCAGACUAGUGCCUAUUCAAGAUCACCUCUGGAAUUUACGUCGUCGGUUUCCCGUCGAUAUACUCAAAUGAGGAAUCAAAACUUUUGUUAAAACACCUUCUUUCUCGGGUUAUUUAACCCAAAACAGACUUUCCUUUAGUCUAAAAUAGGAUACCAAACCAGAUAAGAAUUUGUUCCAAAAGUUUUCUGAUGCACAGGAUCCUUACUGGAAGGCAAGUGCAGAGCAUACUUCCUUAGGUUUCAAAAUGAACAAAUUUAAUUCUUUAUUCUUUUUCUUUCUCUAGAGAGCUUCAUUUGCAGAGAGAGGAGAGAGGUUUAGAGAUUCAUAGUGAUAAAAACACACGAGAGUUUAUUGCUUCAAACUUCUAUAUUCUAUAUUACAAGCAAGGGGAGAAUCCUUUAUAUAGGAGAAUUCUCAGAGAAGAUAGGACAGGACCCCUAUCUUUUUUCAAAAGCAAAAGAUAAAGAUACGACAACAUAGAUCAUGACUUCUCAAGUGAUCAUGACCUGUAGCACACCUUUUUGUAAAGCCAAGCCCACCGAUCAAGACUUUAGACAAAUGGACAAAAGAUAAAGCAUGCUUACAAAGACUUUUACAACUGGCAAAAGCCAAAGCGUAAGGCAAGCCAAGACAAAAUCAUAAAGUAAAACAUAAUUAUUACAACAAGGCAAACUACUUUAUUGAAAACAACAAGACAAACAACUUUAUGGAGAGCGGGGAUUCAUGUACUCGUCUUCGGAUGAGCUUUCAGUUUCAUAGGGAUUGUCACAGUUGGAUUUUGGGAAAAAGGUUUGGGAGAGCUUUGGAUGCUUACAGUGGGGACCACGGCAAGGGGGAUAAGGACAAUCUCGUCGGUAUCCUGGCCUUGGUGAUGUUUGAGUGGCUUUGUCAACUUUGGAGGGUUUAGUGGUCGUGUCAGCAUUGGGAGGUUGGGAUGAGGAUCCUGGUUCAUUCAUGGAUGGUUGUGGAAACUGUUGGAGAUGUUGGCUGAGAGGAAGGAAAUCUUCCCAUGGGUCUUGGGAGUCUUGGUAUAGAAAGUCAGUGUAGUCGGGUCAUUCUUCUUUAAUGAUGAUACCUGUGGACUUAGGUUUAGAUAUGGCGGAUGGAGUGGGGAUCAUGAGGAGGUCAUGUUGUGGGACUAAGGAGGUGUGGAAGAUGUCUUUAAGUGGCGGAGGUUGGUGGUUUAAUUGGCAAAGGUAGUUGUGAAGGACAUCUUGGAUUUCAUUUUCAAUGACAGCUAGAUGUGGGGCAGUGAACCAUUCAUAUACCUGGUCUUGGGUCCAAAAGAGUUUUGUGUCUGGAUGUUGAAAGUAUGGCCUGUGAAUGAUAAAGACUGAGGUAAACAUUUGUGCUUCCGAGGCAAGCAUACGUUCAAGGUUGUAAAUUUCAGACAAUUAUUGUAGCUUCUUUCUCCACCAUGGUAUUGGGGAGAACCAUUCAAGUAAUGUCCACGUAAGAGAGGUGGCUUUGUCUGGGUCAAGGAGAUGUUCCAAAGUGGGAGUAAUUGGUAGGACUAACUUAGUGGCAUAAAGGACUGUUAGGCACCAGAUGUACCAUAACACAUCUUCAGUGGUUUCUCUGGAUGGAUCAAGGGUUAAACCUGUAAGGAACAGAUUUUCUGGGUGGAAGGAGGAAAAUGGAAAGGGUUCUGUUACAAGGUAGGCUUUCAUGAAGAAGCGAAAGAGAGCUUUUCUUGCAAACUCUUGGAUGGCAAAGACAGAAGAAAAGGUUUUAUUAAAGGGAAAAGUUUUCUUGGUGAGAGCUUCUAGGGGUAGUGAUGUAGCCAUGGAGAUGAUCGGAAAGUGGUAUGUAGUGGAAAACAGGGUGAGAGGUUUUUCUGGUUUUGAGAGUCUGGAUAGCAUAUCAAGGAUGAGGUUCUGGGAUCCCUUUAUAUGCUUGACCGAAAAGUCAUAUUUGGAAAACCAAUCUUUUAAUAUGAGUAACAUUUUUUCGGGAACAGUUUUACCUUUGAAAUUGAGAAUAUUGGGGAAGGCUGAACUGUCCAUACGGAUGAGAAAAUGGUGUCCAAUCAGAUGAUACUUAAAUUUUUUUAUGCCAUUCUUUACCGCUAAGAUUUCUUUGAACACGCUAUGGUAAUGCUUCUGUGUGUCAGAAAAUUGUCCGCUAGCAUAUGCGAUAAAGUGUUCUUUUCCAUUGAUGUCUUUAAGGAGGAUGGCACCCCAUGAUUCAUCACUUGCGUCUGUUUGUAAUAUGCGCUUUCCAUCAGUAAUCAACUUUAAAGGAAGCGAAUUUUGCGCAAUUUGCUUAAGAGUAGUGACAACAUUUGUGUGGUCAGCAUUCCAUUCUAGGGGCUUCUUUUUUAAUAAAGCUGAGAGGUGGCGAGUUGAGUGGUCCACAUGUGGGAUGAAGUCUCUGAUAUAAUUAAUGAUGCCGAGAAACUGUUGAACUUGCUUUUUGGAAAGUUGCUGAUCUGGAAAGUGAAGCAACUCUUGGGCAAUGUGUUUUCCUGGCUAAUAAUGGCCAUCUUUUAUGAUCAUGCCAAGGAAUUCAAUGUUCUCCGUGGCAAUGGUGCUUUUCUUGGCAGACAGCAUAAUUCCAUGAUUUUGGACAAUAUCAUAGAAUUGGGUUAACAGCUGGCAAUGUUCAUCAUGUGAUCCUGAAAAAAGCAAGAUAUCGUCAAUGUAAAUCAAUGCAUGAUGCAGGAUGGGCUGAAAGAUAUGGACCAUGGAUUUUUGGAAAAUGGAUAGGGCAGUUUUGAGGCCAAAAGGUAGGACGGUCCAUUGGAAAUGGGCAUUUGGGAUACAAAAAGCAGUUUUGUAACGCUCAGAGGGUUCAAUGCCUAAUUGCCAGAAACCUGAUUUUAAAUCGAAUUUUGAAAAGAUCUGGGCAUUUUUGAGAAAAGUAAACAUGCUUUGUCGACGGGGCAAGGGAAACUUGUCAUCUUGUAAAAACAUGUUUAAUGGCUGGUAGUCAAUGACUGGGCGUUUCUUUCCUCGGACAAUUUCAGAAUGCUUUUCAACAUAAAAGGCUUGGCAAGCCCAUUGAGAAUUCGUGGGCUCAAUUAGACCUUGGGCUAACAAUUGGGAACAUUCUUGUUGGGCUAGGAGUAAGUCAGAAGGACUCAUUCCUGGGUGGGUAGCUUUGGUUGGGUUAAUAUCUUCAUUGAGUUUGAAAGGUAACUUAAUGAAGAAAGAUUUAUUUUUCCACAAUGGGUUUGGAUGGGUGAACUCAGAAUGGGACUCUGGACAGAAACUCAAAAGUUUGGUGGAAAUAUCCUGGUAGGACUGGGGGGUUUCAGACAGAUUAUAGAGUUUCAGAAUGUCUGUGAAAGGUUUGAACAUGAACUUGACUCGAAUUCCAGUGGGAAGGAUUUGAAGGUGUUUGAUCUGGUGAAGGAUGUCAAAACCUAACAAGAGAUCCUUAUUAGGAAGGGUUGAACCGAUGACCUUGGUCCAAAUGACACAAUUGGGGAAAAUUUGAAUACCAAUGGGUUUUUUGGUAAUCAAGAAGGUGGUGAAUAGUUUGCCAUUGACGGCUUUGAAAUGUUCUUUAUAUUCUGUCCAGUAUUCUGGUGGAAGAAUAUGUGGGUUUAACAUGCUGCGUUGGGCACCAGUGUCUAUGAGACCAAUUGCUGGAACGGGCCUUUGGAACUUUGAGGGCAAGAUUUGGAGCUUGAUGGAUGGUAUAGGAAUAGAAGUGUCAAGGGACAGUAAUUGUUGGUGGAAAAUGGCUUGGGACUGAUCACUGUCUGAAUCAUUAGAGGAGUUCUGCAGUGCGAACACUGUUUCAUCAUUGGGUUCAUCUUGUUCAGAGAAAUAGAAUUCCAGUUCAUCCUUUUCUGGAGAGUAAUCUGUAGUGGCUUGGAGAUGCUCAACUAACCGAAUAGAUUUUUCUCGUUUAUUGGGACAGUCUUUAGCAUAAUGGCCUUUCUUCUUGCAGAUAAAACAUCUGCUUGAUUUUCUCCAUUUAAAGUCUCUGGAAGAAAAUGACUUCUUUCGGAAGAAUCUGUAAGGCUUUCUGGAUCGACGAGGUCUGGAUGAAAAUUCUGGAUUUCUGAAUUUCUUAAAAUGCCUUUUCUUUUUAGGACUGCAAUCACAAUCCUUCUUCUGCUUGCAUUUGAUCUGCAAGUAAGGCUUUUUGCAGGCACCCCGGAAUGGUUCUUUGUCUUUCAACAGUUCUUUGAAAAACUGCUUCUGUUCGCAGAGUUUAUUGAGACAGGUUUUGGCAAGCUGGAAGAUUUUGCCAAGAGAGAUGUUGUCAAGAACAAAAUUGGAUGCGGUGAGUUGUCUUUGUAUGUCUGGUUGGAGUUCGUCUGGUAGGGAGGCCAGAAAGACAUGCUUUAAUGUUGGCUCAUUGAAUCCAUUAAGCUUAUAGAACAGCAGGGACAUUCGCUUGUAAUGGAAAUCAAGAUCCUUAGCAUUGAGGGAACAAUAUUUCAUGUUGAGAUAGUCUCGUCGUGUAGCUUCAAAGACUACAGAAGGGUCUCCAAGGAAUUGAUCAUGGAGAACAGCAAGAGCACUUGAGACUUCUGGUAGAUCAACAAACUGUAAUUGGCGGUAGCGACCUAAGGAAUCAAACCAAUCUUUUAGAGCACCCGUAAAACGAGUAGCAAAUUCUCUAAGGACUGAUUGAGUUGUGGCGCCUGGCCUUAGCAUUUGAAGGUCAAUCCAGGCAGACAUUUCAUUAAGACGAUCACGCCAUUUAUGAGAUGGAAGAUCAUCAAAUGUGAACCAUGGGCCAUUGGAAGAUUUUCGACUGGGUGGACUGGUUUGGGCUUGAGCUGGAGGGGGUUGGUUUGUGGUAGAGGAUUUAGGCAUUUCUUCUUCAACUUUUGAGGGAAUAUCAACAUAUGGUUCUGUAUGGGAGGUUUGGCCUUGAGGAGGGUGAUCAGGUUGGGCCAUCAAGAUUCUGGUGAUAUCAGCAUAGGACUUUUCAGAAUCACUAGUGGAUACUGAAGAUUAUGUGUCAGUCUUAGUAUGGUUAUCAGAAACAGCUAGAUUUGAAUCAGAAGUUUGGUCAUCUAUAGUAGAAGAGCGAUUGACCGUAUGGGCACUAAACUGAUGCAUUGGUUGUUUAUCUUUGGAUUGAGAAGGUGGUUGGGAUUCAGUUGGUGGUGGAGGUACUGGUGGCGAUGCCGGAGUAUGACCAGGAGAGUGUUGGCCAGGGAUGGUAAUGGAUGGUGGAUGAAAUGUGACGGGUCGCGGUUGAGGUUUAGGCUUUGGUUUAGGUUUAGGUGGUGGUGGUAAGGGAUUGUCUCUGAAAAGGGUAUGGGUCAUGCCAAAUAACUUGGAAGGAUCAUAUUGUCGGAUGGGGGAAAGCAUAGAGGCAAAAGGAUGAUAAGGUGGACCUAUGGAAGGGAUAGGAGAUGAUGUGGUAAAAAAGGUAGGUCUUUGUUUUUCAGAUUCAAUCUGAGCAAGCUCAGCUUUUAAGCGUCUGAUUUCUCUUUCCUUUUGGUCAAAUUCGGGGCCAUAAUAGCGUUGGGCAAGCAUAGCUCGUAGUUCAGAAUCGAGUUGGGUAAUUCGGGACUGGAGAUUUUGGUGGAUCUGCUGCAUCUGUGCAGAGAUGGAGUCAACUUUUGUCUCAAGUUGUUCAGUUUGUAAACUGAUGUUCUCAACUUUGGAGUUGAUAUUCAACAAAGUAUCAUUCUGUGCUCUGGCAUUUUGAGUUUGCCAGUUGAGAACUAAUUCAAAAGGUUUGGGAGGUUCUAGGUGGUCGGAUGAGGUAAUUGGUGAAGAGACAAAGCGUUUGGACACAACAUUUCAUUGGGAGUCGGUAUGGGUUUCUAAAGGAGGAAAAGAGGAAGAAUAGUCUGAAGAACUGGACGAAAACAUCAUACAAGUCAGUGGUGGUGUUGGAAGUGGGAUUGGUGAUGGAGUCUUAGAUUUGCAAUGCUUUGCAAUCCAUUUGAGUUCCUUUUUGUAAAUGGGUAAUGGAGCUGGUGGAGGUGGUGGAUCUUGUGGUGGUUUUUUCUUUUUGGGUUUCUUUUUCCUUGUGGAAUAAUCAUCAUCCUCUUCCCAAUCAUCCCAGCAGGGACAAUUUGGGUCACACAUGCCUUAGACAUCCCAUAGGAAAUGUCCAUUUUGCUUUGCUGGAUAUACAGGGUAGCCAUCAAAAUUGAACCCUGUAAUGGGCAGAUCUUCUUGGGCUGUCUAGACAGCUAUGAUCAUUGAAGAAUAGGUAAAGGAGAGCCGAGGAGGCUCUUGUGGAGCACUGGGAGGUGGUUUAAAGGUCAUUCGAACUGUUCCAUCUUGGCGUCUUUCAAACAGACUUUCAGAUGUCUGAAUUGGAGCUGUAUUGUUAUGGAACUGUUCAUAGUUGGAGAUCCAUUCAAGAGGCAUAAGCUUGAUGAGCUCAUGAUGGGGAAUUUGUCUUGGGAUCUGGAUUAUGGUUGGGAUCUGGUCAGAUUCGGCUAAGAUCAUGAGGGUAUCAGAAUGAUGUUCAGGAGUGGGUAGAUCUAAGGCAUGAUUUUGAAGCCUAUAGACCAAUUGGUGGUGUAAGGUGGCAAUUUUGGCAGAAGAAAUUUGUUCAACAUCUUGAAUUUGGACUUGAACCUUCAAGGUUGUGGGCAAGUUGGGAUCUUGGAGAGAAAGGUUGAAGUUUGGGUAAAAGGUAAGCAAAACACUUCCUGCAUGGAGAGUUGUAAGAACAGUGCCAAUAACAGCAUCUUGGUACUAUUUAAACUGGGUGUCAAGCAUAGCAAGGCGAGCUGUAACCGAUAAUCCUUUUCUUCCAUGAAGAGUAAGGAUUAAUUUGAUGCCUCCAAGAUGAAGAUGAGUAUAACCUUCUCGUUUCCAGUUGGAGAGCAACUCGGAGGGAAUCUCCAGAGUGAUAUAUUGCUCAGCAGAGGUGGCUUGAAGAGCACACUGAUCCAAGCGGGAAGACUGGAUAUAUUCUUUAGGGUGAGGGCGUCUAGUAGAGAUGAGGGUGCGGAUACUGCGGGUAAAGGAGCUAGGUCGUUUGUACAACUGAUAAGGGCUAAUAAGAGGGUAGGAGGACUCACUGAUUUGGGCUGAUUCAGGGAUAUAAGAGUAUUCUACAAGGUUUUCAAUCUUAGUGGUGGUGCAUGAGUUUGAGGUUAGGAUUGAGGUGGCAGUGGAGGUACGAGCGGUGGGGACUGUUGUUCAGGAAUGGACAUGGAGGGCGGAGAAAUUUUGACGGGGUAUGGUUGAGGUUUAGGUUUUGGUUUAGGUUUAGGUGGUGGCGGUAAGGGAUUGUCUCUGAAAAAGGUAUGAGUCAUGCCAAAUAACUUGGAAGGGUCAUACUAUUUGAUGGGGGAAAGCAUCGAGGAAAAUGGAUGAUAAGUUGGACCUAUGGAAGGGAUAGGAGGCGAUGUGGUAAAAAGGGUAAGUCUUUGUUUUUCAUAUUCAAUCUGAUCAAGCUUAGCUUUUAAGCGUCUGAUUUCCCUUUCUUUUUGGUCAAAUUCUGGGCCAUAGUAUCUUUGAGCAAGCAUGGUUCGUAACUCUAAAUCUAGUUGAGUAAUUAUGGAUUGAAGAUUGUGGUGGAUCUGCUGCAUCUGUGCAGUAAUGGAGUCAACUUUCGUCUCAAUCUGUUCAGUUCGUAAACUGAUUUUCUCAACUUUUGAAUUGAUAUGCAACAAAGUAUCAUUCUGUGCACUGGCAUUUUGGGUUUGCCAGUUAAGGACUGAUUCAAAAGGUUUGGGAGGUUUUAGGUGGCCAGUUGAGGUAAUAGCUAAAGGGAUAAAAGGUUUGGAUACCACAUUUCGUUGGGAAUUUGUGUGAGUUUCUAAUGGAGGAAAGGAGGAAGAGUACUCUGAAGAGGUAGUAGAAGAAAACAUCAUACAAGUUAUUGGUUGUACGAUAGGUGUUGAGUUUGGGAUGGGGGAUAGAAUCUCAAGUUUGCAAUGCUUUGCAAUCCAUUUGAGUUUUGUUUUGUAGAUGGGUAAUGGAGCUGGUGGAGGUGGAGGAUCUCUUGGUGAUUUGGGUUUACAGUGUUGACAUGAGACUGGAGGUUUUUUCUUUUUGGAUCUCUUUUUGGUGGCAUAAUCAUCGUCCUCUUCCCAAUCAUCCCAGCAGGGACAAAUUGGGUCACACAUGCCGGAGCCUGGGACAUCCCAUAGGAAAUGUCCAUUUUGCUUUGCUGGAUAAACAUCGUAUCCGUCAGAAUUGAACCCUGUAAUGGGCAAAUCUUCUUGAGCUAUCUGAAUAGCUGUGAUCAUUGAAGAAUAGGUAAAGGAGAGCCGAGGGGGCUCUUGUGGAGCACUUGGAGGUGGUUUAAAAGUCAUUCGGACACGGCCAACCCUCUCACACAGAACCAUAUGUUGAUAAAACAGCUUUCCUUGCAAACUCUUGGAUAGCAAAGACAUAAGAGAAAGUUUUGUCAAGGGGAAAAGUUUUCUUGGUGAGAGCUUUUUGGCAGACUCAUUUCCAUUUUCUACCUUCCACCCAGAAAAUCUGUUCCUUACAGGUUUAUUGGCGGUAUGAGAAGUGCAGGAGUUGGGCAAAGAAAGAGUAUAAGAAAGAGACAGAUGGAUGAUAAAAAAAUUUUCUAUCAUUCAUUUAUGACAUACUUGUGAUAGAAAUUUCAUCUAUCAAGCACUUAUGAUAGACUGAUGAUAAAUUAUUUGAUUAUCAAGAAGUAAUGACAAAUUUGUGAUAUAAUUUUGAUCAUCAGGUAGCUUUUUUAUUUUGACUUUAUUUCACAAGGUUGACUGAAAAUUUUAAAAUGAAUGAAAACAAUAAAUAAAGAAUAAAUGAUAUCGUUUGCAUUAAUUCUCUUUAGACAAGAAACGGCAUCGUUUAGAUUGAAACUAAAUAAAAACAAAACACUCUUCAAUUUUCACUCAUCGAAUUUUUUUCCCUAAGUGUUGGCAAUCUCACUCUCGUCUUUCGCUCAGUCACUCUCGUCAAUCUCACACUCACAAAGUCCUUUUCGUCGAAAAUCAUUGCAUGGGCACUGAACCACUGCCACAAUUCUGUUGUAUUUCACUAUUGAUUUUGGCUCUCACGAGAACUAUAUGGAAUACCCACCAAACGCAUGUGCUGCUACUAUUGAAUUUCAAUACCCUAACUGAGAACCCUCGCUCACCCACUGUUGUAACCAUUCGAUCAAUACAGGUAAAUAAUAUUUCUAAUGUUGUGUUCCAUUUCAAUUUUAAUUUUCUUGUCAAACUCGAACCCUAUAUAUGUAAAACUUAAAAACCCUAGAUGUGUUCUUGUCAAAUUCGAACCCUACACACCUAAAUCUUGAAAAGCCUAGAUGUUUUCUUGUCAAAUUUGAACCCUGUACAUGUAAAAAUUGAAAAUCCUAGUUGUGCUCUUGUUAAAUUUGGAUCUAUUUGAUUGGUCUUCUAUGUUUCUUUAUUUAUGGAAUUUUAAACAAUUUUUUGAUUUUUUUGGAAUUUAAUUAUUAUAGUUUUAUUGUUAAAUUUGAUUUAGGUUGUAAAGAUCCUUGCCAAUUUAAUCAUGAUGGGUGUUGGGAUAUUGUCUAUGCUGCUUUAUCAUUGGGGUUUUUUUUCACUUUUUGUGGAUGCAUGGAGCUGUGUCAUCUGCCAUGUAAGGAAAAACAAAAACACAUCAAAUUAUAUAUGCAUGCAUGCACGUGCAUGUCCUUUAUAAAACAAGGACAUUUCUCUUCCACUCUUGUCACCUUGCUAACUAAGACAUUUCUCUCCCACCCUCCUUAUCCUCCCUCAUUCAUCCAUCCAUUCAUUUCAACCAACAAAAAAAGAAAACUACUAUACAAUUAAAUUCAAAUGAUUCAAAAUUAAAAAUUAAAACAAAGCAUAAAAUUAAAAUUAACACAAAGUUUAAAUUUAAAAUAAUUAUUAAUCAUUAAUUCAUAAAUUCAUAAAUUAAAACACAAAAAGACUAUUAAAAAAAUCUACUUAAUAGUUAGUAUUACAAAUUGAUUCAAAUAAUUGUUAAUUUAAUUUUAUGAAACUUUUUGAAAUCGAUAUUUCCAAUUUUCCACCAUAAUAUUUAUAUAUGAUCAAGAAUUCAAGAUGCAUAUUCCAUAAAAGAAAACCAAGAAAUUAAUGUAAUUAUUUAAUUUAUAAUAUCUAAUUAUCCAUUGGCCAAAAUAAUAUAAUAUUAAUUACAUAUCCGUAUCUUAAUUUCUUAAUUCUUAUUAUGCCCACAUUAUAUGUACUUAACCACUUAAUAUUUACUUAUUGGUUAUCAUGCAAUUAAUUAAAUUGAUUAAUUAUUUGUUGAAGUUGAAACUUGAAACUACUGCAAUUAAAUUGGUUAAUUUUUGGUUGAAGUUGAAACUAUUGUACAAAUACACAUAUCAUAUGACAUAUAUAAUUAUAAUUUAUAUUGUAACAUAAUAUUUAAUUUUAAUUUUUAAUCUAACAUUACUAUUCAUACAAAAAAUCAAUUAUUAAUAAGUAACAGAAAAUUAAUGCUGGAUUAUUUUCAUUUUAUUGAUAAAAUUUAACAAUAUAUAAUUAUAUAUAAUUAACAUACAAAGUUACAAUUAACAUUUCGCAUAUAACAUAUAAAAAAUAACAAUUAUAAUUAAUCAUUAAUGCAUAUAUAAUUAUAUAUUAUAUAUAUACCAUCACUUAAACAAGUUCAAAAGCCGGAUUUGCUGAUUCGGUUCGGGCUUCAAGAGUUCAAGUUCCAAAUCCAAACUUCCAACUUCCAAAACAGAGAGUGAAGAGACCUUUUGAGUUUUGAGACUGGAGCCGUGACCCGUGAGGCGUGAUCGUGAGGGUGUGGUGGCCGGAUGUCAACUCUCAACAGCCGCGACCCGUGAAUGCCAAUGGUGGAGACUCGAGUAGAUCGGAGGCAGCUUGCCGGGUGGAUCUUCAAUCGGACUGAGUGAUGGUGGAGUGGAGGAUUCAAGGCUUGGAUCCGGCGCUUGGUUGCAGCAGAUCUGUAGAUCGGGUCACGAUCUUCGCGAAUCAGCUUCGGCUUCAGUUGGGGUUGUUCUCGGCAGCGGUUGCUGCGUGUGGUGGCCGGUUGAAGGUAGCUCCGUGAACUGUGCGUGUGUGUUUGUUGCGUGUGGUGAGCGACGGAGACCGUGAGGCGUGAAUGGGUGUGGGUUGGCUGCUUGUGCUUGACGGCUUGAGUGUUGGUUUCAGUGAUUUGUGUGUGACAGUGAGGGUUUGUGAUACCGUGAGGCAGUGACUGGUGAGUGUCUGAGUGAGUGAGGGUUUGUGAGCCAAAAUGAGACUUUGCUUUGCUUGUGUUCUUUUCUUUGUGAAUUACUAAUACUGAAUUGUUUUGUUGCGGUGAGGUGAAUACUUUGUGAAUUACUAUAAAAUGUAAAUCCGUGAAUCUGUGUGACACUGUGAAGUCUGUGAUGUGUGAUUUGUAGAUUCUGUAUUCUGUGAGUUACUGAAUACUGGUUGUCUGAUUCAGUGAUUGUGUCGUGUACUCGUGUGAGUGUGUAUUUGUAUUUUGUAUUAUGUGAUUUGUAUUUGCCAAUUUUUUUUUUCUCAACCCGAUCGGGUUUUCGUAUCGGAUCGGGUUUCACCCGAUCUGAUCAUGAUCCGAUCGGGUUGAGACAAUUUCACCUGAUCGGGUUUUGUUCACCACCUGAUCCGAUCCGAACCCGAAAUUUUUCGGAUCGGAUCGGGUCGGAUCGGGUCGGGUCGGAUAUUUUGCCCACCCCUAACUCCAGUAACAAAUUCAAUCCAUCAAUAUCAGAAAAACAUAUCAUAUUUCAAGACAUUUUCAUAUACUCAGGCCCUACUUUAUGAAACACACAUUUUUUAGAACCAAGCAAUUUUUCUAAGUUCUUUUGACCAUUUGUGAAUUUUAACAUAAUUUUAUUGGGUUCAUUGCUCUUCUUCUUAAGCUCUUCAUUUUCUUUGAUAAAAUUAUCAACAUUUGAUAUUUCAUGCUCAUAUGAGGUACUUUGUUUACCUUUUAAAGAAGUAAUCCUAUCAUGCAAUAUUUCAUUUUCUAAUUCUAGUUCUUUGAUCUUUUCAUUUAGUAAAUCAUUGCAUUUAUGCAAGGCAUCUUUUUCAUUUGAAAGUUCUAGCAUUUUCUUCUUAAGACAUGCAUUUUUCUUACCAAUUUUCAUCAUAUCAUUAUUCAGUUCUUUAAAAGCAUCAUACAAUUCAUUAUAAGUAGGAAGAUCAUUUACCUUAUCAAGUUCGUCAUCUCUUAUUGCCAUAAGUGCUAGGUUUGACACUUCUUGCGAAUCUUCUUCAACGCUAUCGUCCCAAGUAUCCACCAUGGCUUUCUUCUUGAGUUUGUUGAGAAGUGGGCACUCCGAUCUUAUAUGGCCAAGCUUCUUGCAUUCAUAGCAUAUGAUUACUUCUUUCUUCUUCUUUUGGUUAUUGAGAUUUCUGAAUUUUCUUCGCUCUCUGGAUUUCUUAAAAAACUUCCUGAAUUUUCUAGCCAUCAUAGCCAUUUCUUCAUCCUCGAAAUCGUUUUCCUCAUCACUUUUAAGUUUAAAUGCUCUCAAGGCAAUGUUUUUCUUCUUUUUAUCUUCAUCUUCUCUUUCGGCUACCAAAUCCUCUUAAUAAGAAAUAGGAGAGCCACUUAAAUCAUUAAUAAAUAAAGUAUUUAAAUCUUUAGCUUCUUCAAUGCUAGUUCUCUUAAGUCUCCAUUUUUUUUGUAAUGACUUAAUGAUUUUCUUUACCUUCGCACUAUUUGAAAAUAUCUUACCAAGCACUCUUAGAGUGUUUAUUAUAUCCGUAAAUCUAGUAGACAAAGAAUGGACACUCUCAUUUUAUGCUAUUUGGAACAACUUUGUUAGCCUAAAGGGCUACACAUAUUGUAAAUUUGAUGAUAACAAACAUGUGUCUUAAGUAAAUUGAAAAAUAUUGUAUUUCACAUUUUACUAGUUCUUGAAGGAUAAUAUUUACGAUGAAGUGAAUCAAGUUAACUCAAGUUCAAGACACUCAACAGACAACGACUCAAUCAAGAAUAAAGCUUAGACCUCAAUGGACUCAUUAUUAUGAAAAUUCUUGUAAAGUUGGUAUGAUUUAAUAUGUGCAUGGUUUAGCAUUUGAGAAUCUUAAGAUUUUUUUAAUAAAUCAUCAUUUUUCAUAACCAAAGGUUUUCCAAUUAUAAGCCAAAUAUUUUAUGAAAUUAUUUGUUUUUCAAGAUGUGGACUAAAAUGAAAAAGUUUUGUCAUCGUUGAUUUUAAUAAGCAUUGUUUUGAAUUCUAGAUUUUGACCUAUUUGCAAACAUUUGAAACAUUUUGGUCCAUACUAUAAUUUUAGAAAAAAUGAGGAUCUAAGUGUAAAUAUCCAAAAAUGGACAAAGAGUUAGUGGUUAACUGCAUGAGGGCUAACGGCUAGCCGACUAACGAAAAUCUCAUAUUUUCAAAUUUUGGACUAAAUUGAAAGGUUUUGAGAACUUUGAAAUUUAUAAGUAUUUUGUUAAAUUUUGAAAAUGACUUCUUUGAAAAAUAUUAUUAUGUAUUGGGUCAUAUUAUUUAGAAAUUCUGAAAUUAGACCUGGUUGUAAAGUUUUAUGACAUUUUGGGCCAUAAUAUAAUUACAGAAUGUUUUGGGCAAAAAUAUAAAUUUGUGACAGUAUGACUGUAGCAAAAUUCAAAUUUAACGGUAACUUUACUGUUCUGAAGCGGGGAGCUGGCUAAAUUAAACGGCUAGCCGCUUGCUCGCUGGAAUUUGACUAUAACGACUAGUUUUUGGGCUUAAGCUAUAUAAACUCAAUUCCAACUUCAAUUUUAAGACUUUUGCAAGUAUAAACAAGUGCGUACAACUUAUAUUGAGCUUCCAUCAUAAAUCAUCAUAUAUUGAAUCAUCAGUGUGCUAUCAUUUGUAUAUCCACUCUAAAAGAGAGUUUUUGUUGUAAUCUUUGUUUUCUUAUCAAAUUUGUGAGUGUGUAAGUGUGGGAAACACUUGAGUGAAGAGAUUGGGGGAUAAUCUCUUGUUUAAAAGGUUCAUUGACACAUUGGAAGUUCAUUGUAAACAUUUGAAGCAUUGGGAGGCUUGGAUAGUGAAAUCUUCAAGCUUGGUUUGCUUGGAGGCGUGGACGUAGGCGAGGAUUGCCGAACCAUGUAAAAAUCAUUGUGUUUGCUCUCUCUUCCCUUACUCUUUUAUUAUUGUGCUUUAUUAAAUUUAUUAUUUUUUAUUUCAUUAAGGCAAUAUAUUGAAUUGUUGUGUGGUUUUUUAGUUUAAGUUUUAAAAUCACAAUUCACCCCCCUCUUGGGUUGCAUAACUACCAUUUCAAACUCAUAUUGUCUAGUAUACCUACUGAUUUUAGACUCUUUUCACUUGGUUUGUACCCUCAUAGAUAACUUCAAGUUUAUUCCAAAUUUUAUGAGCAUUUCACAACUAAAAACUCUAUGGAAUUAUCCAUAAUCUCUUAACUCAAGUGUAUCCCAACACUUAUAAUCUCUCAACUUGAUUUUACAAAAGGAAUUACAAAUAAAUUUUCUCACACAAUGUGUUUGAUUACAAAUGAAAGUUCAAAAUGUGAAUGGAUGAAACAAAAACAAGUUUAAAGCGCAAUAAGAAUUGUAUACUCAGUAGCAAGCUUGAUGAUAACUCUUGGAUAUCGCUUUGGUUGAAUUUGAUUGAACCAUUUUAUAGUUGGAGCUAAAAACUAGCCGUUGUUGACUUUCUGUACCCAAUCAGAUUGCCAUUACUUAUUAUCGGAUCACCAUUUUAACUUGAGCAAUUGAUCAUUAUGCUACAAUUUCGAAUAGUCGGAUCACCAUUUUUAAGAAGUCAGAUUACCGUUAUCGCUUCAGAAUCUUGUCCGAAAGUAUCGAUUAUCCGUUUGACUUAAACGGUUCACCGUUUGCAAGAUGAUUGCUCUCUAAUUUGUUAUCGGUUUGUCAUUAUCCAUAAACAGCUAUCCAUUAGCAAAGGAUUUCCUCUCUGGAAUGCAAUCGAUUUAUCAUUAUCCAUAAACGAUUCGCCGUUAGCAAAGAACUUGCUCUCUGGAAUGCAAUCGGUUUUCCGUUAUUAAUAAUCAAUUUUCCAUUAGCAAAAGACUUGCUUUCUGGAAUACAAUCGGAUUACCAUUAUCCAUUAAUCCCUAUAAAUUCGGUGUGCCAUUUAGUUAUUAACGGUUAUCCGUUUAUUUCCAGAAAGUUAUUCUAUACUUAGAAUAUUAUACGACUUAAAUAUUUUGAUCAGAUUAACAAAACUUUUUCUAACUUAUCAAUUUAAAACGUGUUUGUUAUCAUCAAAAUCAUUAUUUAGGAAACAUACAAGUUAACAAAUUCUUUCUUGAACAUAUUUAUUAAUUGUUUUCCUUUUCGAUAGUCUUACUUGUAAAUCAACCCAUGCAUUCAUAUUAGUUAUACGUUCAUUGGUUGUUUCUUGUUCCUUCAUCAUUAAACAGAUUUUUGCUACAAUUUGUAUUGAAUAUAUUAACCAUUUUUUGUCAUGUUUUUUUUCUCUUUGGUAAUAUUUUAACAUAAAAUGCAAUAGAAUAUUCAUCUUUUGGGAAAGUUAUAUCAUUCUCUCUAAUUGUGCCUUUUUCUAUUGAAAGAUCUCUUAACUUUGUAUCAACAUUUGGAACAAAUAAAUUUCCUACAUUAACUUUGUCUGUAUUUUUAUUGUUAUCAUCUUCAUUGUUGUUUAUUUCAUUCACUGUUUCAUCAUUGUUUAAUUCAUUUGAGGUUGGUUGUUCAAUAACUAAUUCUUUACUUAAAUUUAAAUCAUUUUUACUAGUUGUGACAAAUUUAUCAAGAGUUCCUUUUUGAGAUUGGACUAACUUUUCUAUUCUCCUCUUUUUUUUUUGUAGUUUUUAAUAUCAUGAUGCAUAUUUUCUAGUUGACAUGUUUUUCAAAUCUAAAAAACAAACAAAUGAACAAACACAAUUUUUUUUUUAGAUUAUUCAAGCCAUAAUCAAUACAAAAACUCAAAAAUAAAUUAAAUUUUAAAAGGAUAAGAACAAUAAUAAUUAAAAAUAGAAAAAACAGAAUGAUAGCACUUGGAAUUGAGUCAAUUAACUAGUUGAGAUGAAUAUGAUGAUGGAAAUGAAUUUCAUAGAGAAAGAUAAGAGAGCACGAAAACUUUUGCUGAAAGUAUCCAUCCUCAAUUCAAUGUGCAUCAGUUUAUAGAUAAUGAGUAUUUAAAUAUAAUAGAAUACUAAAAGUUAGCUCUCAAAAUCUAACAUUACUAAUUUUAAUAAGUCA
rnacentral:lncRNA from 1 species